AUGGAGUUCUACUAUCACAUUCUACUCGCUCUUGUCCCUCUCCUGUACCUCAUAGGAUGGUUCCGCCGUCCUCGUGGCCUGCGGCUCCCGCCGGGUCCAUGGCAACUCCCCGUCAUCGGUAGCCUCCACCACCUCCGCGGCGACCUCCCACACCGCACGAUACGCGACCUCUCACGCCGCCAUGGGCCUGUGAUGUUCCUCAAGCUGGGAGGGAUCCCGGUUGUCGUCGCCUCUUCCCGCGAAGCUGCCGAGGAUGUGAUGAGGACCAACGACGCCGUGCUUUCGUCCAGGCCGCAGACGCCGACGGUGAAGCUCCUCACCAAGCAAGGGCACGACAUCGUGCUAGCCAAAAACGAUGAACAGUGGCAGCAGCUCCGCAAGAUCUGCGUGCACGAGCUUCUGGGCACCAGGCGCGUCCAGUCCUUCCGUCCCGUCCGUGAGCAGGAGGCCAUGCGGCUCGUCCAGGCGGUGGAAGCCUCGUCGGUGUCCUCGGACUCGGACAGUGUGAACCUCGACAGGCUGCUAUCCGCGCAUGUCAACGACGUGAUUGUGCGCGCCGUCGUGGGUGACGGCGAGGUCGAUGACCGGGAAACCUUGCUGCGACUCACCGCCAAGGCCAUAGAGUUGGUCGGGAGCUUCCGCCUAGCUGACAUGUUUCCGUCGUCGCGGAUAGCACGAGCCCUCAGCUCACGGGCUAUGCAUAAGGUCGAGGUCUAUGUGGAGGAGCUAUUUACAUUCAUGGAUGGUAUCGUAAGUCAACACGUGGAGAGAAGAAGGUCGAUGCCCCAUCAGCAUCAGGAUCCGGAGAAGGACCUCAUAGAUGUCCUCUUGAGGGUUCAAGAGGAAAACAGCCUUCGGUUCCCUAUUUCCAUGGGUACAAUAAAGGGCGUUCUUUUCGAUCUUUUAUCCGCGGGCAGUGAAACGGCAACGUCGGUGCUUUCCUGGGCCAUGGCAGAGCUGGUGAGGAACCCGGCCAUCAUGUCCAGGGCACAGUCUGAGGUAAGAGAGGCCUUCGUGGGACAAACGAAAGUAACUGAGGAGGGCCUGGGAAAACUGAGCUAUUUGCAGUGUGUGAUCAAAGAGACGUUGAGGCUGCACACUCCUGGACCAUUUGGGCUGCCAAGGGAGAGCCAAGAAACAUGCCGUCUCAUGGGAUAUGAUGUGCCUAAGGGGACAAUGGUGCUUGUGAAUGCAUGGGCAAUAUCCAGGGACCCAGAAUACUGGGAAGAGCCAGAAAUGUUCAAACCAGAGAGGUUUGUGACUGACAUGAGAGAUUUCAAAGGGCGUGACUAUGAGUUCACGCCGUUUGGUGCUGGACGCCGGAUAUGCCCUGGAAUGCUGUUUGGCGUUGCAAGUAUUGAUCUAGCUCUCGCACAUCUCCUAUUCUAUUUUGACUGGAAUCUCAUGGAGGGUGUGACACCUAGUGAAUUGGAUAUGACCGAAACUAUGGGAAUCACCGCAGGGAGGAAAGAGGAACUUUGGCUAAAACCAACAGUACAUGCUUCUUUUGAUUCAGUGAACUAG
rnacentral:rRNA from 1 species